rnacentral:rRNA from 1 species
AUGGGUCAGCGACUUAUAUUCUGUAGCAAGGUUAACCGAAUAGGGGAGCCGAAGGGAAACCGAGUCUUAACUGGGCGUUAAGUUGCAGGGUAUAGACCCGAAACCCGGUGAUCUAGCCAUGGGCAGGUUGAAGGUUGGGUAACACUAACUGGAGGACCGAACCGACUAAUGUUGAAAAAUUAGCGGAUGACUUGUGGCUGGGGGUGAAAGGCCAAUCAAACCGGGAGAUAGCUGGUUCUCCCCGAAAGCUAUUUAGGUAGCGCCUCGUGAAUUCAUCUCCGGGGGUAGAGCACUGUUUCGGCAAGGGGGUCAUCCCGACUUACCAACCCGAUGCAAACUGCGAAUACCGGAGAAUGUUAUCACGGGAGACACACGGCGGGUGCUAACGUCCGUCGUGAAGAGGGAAACAACCCAGACCGCCAGCUAAGGUCCCAAAGUCAUGGUUAAGUGGGAAACGAUGUGGGAAGGCCCAGACAGCCAGGAUGUUGGCUUAGAAGCAGCCAUCAUUUAAAGAAAGCGUAAUAGCUCACUGGUCGAGUCGGCCUGCGCG